rnacentral:rRNA from 1 species
CCUACGGGUGGCAGCAGUAGGGAAUAUUGCACAAUGGGGGAAACCCUGAUGCAGCAACGCCGCGUGGGGGAUGAAGGUUUUCGGAUCGUAAACUCCUUUUCUUAGGGAAGAUAAUGACGGUAUCUAACGAAUAAGCACCGGCUAACUCCGUGCCAGCAGCCGCGGUAAUACGGAGGGUGCAAGCGUUAUCCGGAAUUACUGGGCGGAAAGCGUGGGUAGGCGGGUUAGUAAGUCAGAUGUGAAAUCCUAAGGCUUAACCCUAGUACUGCAUUUGAAACUGUUAUACUAGAGUGUGGGAGAGGUAGGUGGAAUUCUUAGUGUAGGGGUAAAAUCCGUAGAGAUCAAGAGGAAUACUCGUUGCGAAGGCGACCCUCUAGAAUAUAACUGACACUGAUGCACGAAAGCGUGGGGAGCAAACAGGAUUAGAUACCCUUGUAGUC